rnacentral:rRNA from 1 species
GUGCCAGCAGCCGCGGUAAUACGGAGGGUGCGAGCGUUAAUCGGAAUUACUGGGCGUAAAGGGCGCGUAGGCGGUCGCGCAAGUCGGGUGUGAAAGCCCCGGGCUCAACCUGGGAAUUGCAUUCGAUACUGCGUAACUAGAGUCUGGUAGAGGGAAGCGGAAUUCCGCAUGUAGCGGUGAAACGCGUAGAUAUGCGGAGGAACACCAGUGGCGAAGGCGGCUUCCUGGACCAAGACUGACGCUGAGGCGCGAAAGCGUGGGGAGCAAACAGGAUUAGAUACCCUGGUAGUCCACGCCCUAAACGAUGAGGACUAGACGUUGGGGGGUAAAACCCCUUAGUGUCGCAGCUAACGCGUGAAGUCCUCCGCCUGGGGAGUACGGCCGCAAGGUUGAAACUUAAAUGAAUUGACGG